UUGGAUUCUAAACCGGUUUCACUGCUCCCGGGAUUGCCUUGCGAGGCAUUACAGAGAAGACUGUUGCAAAGGGAUCGUUCUCAACCAACACGAGCCUUUUCUUGGGAAACAGUUGCUGCUACCUCCUAUACUCUUCAUUUUGCUGGUACGCGGGCGAAAGACGUGUGAGGAAAGUACAGACAACCCUUAGCUAAGAGACACGAGAAAAAUAGAGGGCAAGUGGAGAGAGAGAGCUGAAAGUGAAAACAAAGCCGGCAAGCAACCUUCUGGACUACAUUACCCACUUGCCCCUCAAGCCCGCCUCCCUCCGGGCUUGUGUUUAUACUGAUUGGGGNGUCGCCUUCCCAGUUUUGCCUCCUGGUCCUUCGCGAUUGGCUGGGCCUGGCCGCCGCUCGGCGUUGCCACAGAGACGCGCCGCGAAGCCCAGAAAAAAAGGAGGCGCUAGGACCGCAGCGGAUAGCGCGGCAGGCAGCUGCCGUAGCAGCUGCCGCUGCCGUCUCUCUGCGAUGCUCGGUCCCUUCGCCGGAGCUUGCAGAGGCGAGACCGGGACUAGCAAGGUGAGCGGAGGGCUGGGCGGCGCGCGCGCGGGUUGGCAGGCUGGCAUCCUACCUCUAGGGGGAGGAGCGGAGCUGUGCAUGCCCUUGUUUGCUCCUUAGGGGAUCCCGGCGGUACCCCUCCCGUGUCGGCGCUUGGGGAUGGGAUGCGCGGGUUUGGCAGGGCAGCUUGCGAGGAUCCUGUCCCGUCGCGUUGCUGCCACAGUGCAGACGGUGGCUAAGCUGCUUCGCGAUCAGUGGCCAAUUUAUUAAGACUGGGUGAGCGGGCGGGCCGGUGGGAGAAAACCAAACUACAAUAAUGCAGUAAAUGCUCAAUGCACUGUUAGGAAACAAAAAUACAUUUUUAACAGAACUUAUUUUGAAUCCACCGUUAAUAACCAGGCAGCAAUCAUGUUCGAUUCCCCGCCUCCCCCGCCCCAGAGCAGGUAUCUCAGGAGUUCCUUUCGGCAAAGGAAAUGGCACCAGCUGUGCAAUCCUGACCCGGGCGCGCUCCGAAGUGCUUGUUCCCAGAAAAAUGAUGUCAGGAGCGCUGCACCCUGAUCGAGUCGUCCAGGAUAAAGGACCGCACCGAAUGGACACCCCUGGCGGACGGGGUGGGCACAGCAAUAUUUUGUGCCUAAGUGAAAAGGCUGAGCCAACUGCUAUUUAGCCAACCAGUGGGAGGAAGAAGAAUCAUUCCUCUCUUCACAUGGAGACGUCUUGUGCCAUUCAGACUUUUCUGAUGUGACAGUUGCUCCUUCGCAGAGAAGGCGAGAAAGAGUGUCAAGUAGCAGACUAUUCAGACAUGAUCCAGUCCUUCUGGGUGGGAAGAAGAUGCAUA
rnacentral:lncRNA from 1 species